rnacentral:misc_RNA from 1 species
UUGUGGGGCACUAAGAUAUUGGGCUGCUGCACGCCUACGGCGGUGGCCUGGCUUGGUGGCGGCUUGGAGGUGUUUGCUGUGGUGGCGGCUGUGUGUCCUGCGGCGGCGAUGUGCCGGGCCGCCGGGCAGGCUUGCCGGGCGGGCGAGUGGCAGCGCAUCGUGGCAUCAGCAAUUCAGAAGAAGGGUGGUGUUGCGGCUAGCGGUGGUCACCGCUCGAGGUCGUUUCUGGUGGUGGCAACGACGAUCAUCAUCUGGGCAGGCAGCCACAUGUUCUUGCGGGUUUGUUGUGUAGAUGCACGCAGUGAACCUCGGCGGCUGGCCCUGCAAGGCAGUGGCCAUUGCGGGGCUAUCCCGGUGCAGGGCAACGUCGGAAGACGGCGCAAGCUUCUUUUGUGGCCUACCAGUGCGAUGGCGGUGGUCGUGUGCUUGUGUCAGAGCUUUGGUGAUGGCUUCUUUGGGUUCUGGGGUAGUUUUGCAUACCUUCCAAAAGUAAAUCAACCUGGAGCUGCGGCGGGUGCUUCUCCUUCUGCAGCGCAGGACCUGGGUAUGUUCGCUGCUUUUGGUCUGCAGUGGGCUGGGUGGUGA